ACAAGUACCGUGAGGGAAAGUUGCAAAGCACUUUGAAGAGAGAGUUAAACAGGACGUGAAACCGAUGAGGUGGAAACGGACAGAGUCGGCGUAUCUAGCCUGUAUUCAACUGAGACCCACAUUGGGUAGGCCCUUUCCAGAUUGGACAGGCAAUCCAACUGUUUGGGAGUCUACAGUGCAUUUGCAAGUGGAGUGCGCUGAGGUGGUCGGGUUAGCUGCGUGAUCUCGGGUUUGAGGCCAGCCCCUCGGGGUAUGGUACCCGGCUCGGGGGAGUGCUGUUUAGCCUGUUCAACUUGUAUGGAAAUGGUAUCGGGUCCGGCUGGUAUCCAGCUAACAACUGGUGGCGGUCGCAUGCGACACGUACUAGUGGUUGGUUGGGUCCUGGUCUGGCUCCCAUGUUUUCCAAUCCUCGGUGUAAAAACCGGUCAUCUGUCCGACCCGUCUUGAAACACGGACCAAGGAGUUUAGCGUGUGCGCGAGUCAUAGGGUGUUGGAAACCCAAAGGCGCAAUGAAAGUGAAGGUCUCUCUUGUGGAGCUGAUGUGUGACCCGGGUCACCGAGGUGGCCCGGAGCAACAUGGUCCCGUCCUGAUCGCUUGCGAUGGGGCGGAGACAGAGCGUACGCGCUGAGACCCGAAAGAUGGUGAACUAUUCCUGAGCAGGACGAAGCCAGAGGAAACUCUGGUGGAAGUCCGAAGCGAUUCUGACGUGCAAAUCGAUCGUCUGACUUGGGUAUAGGGGCGAAAGACUAAUCGAACCAUCUAGUAGCUGGUUCCUUCCGA
rnacentral:rRNA from 1 species